AUUGAACGCUGACGGCAUGCCUUACACAUGCAAGUCGAACGGUAACAGGUCUUCGGAUGCUGACGAGUGGCGAACGGGUGAGUAAUACAUCGGAACGUGCCAGAUCGUGGGGGAUAACGGAGCGAAAGCUUUGCUAAUACCGCAUACGAUCUACGGAUGAAAACAGGGGACCGCAAGGCCUUGCGCGGACGGAGCGGCCGAUGGCAGAUUAGGUAGUUGGUGGGAUAAAAGCUUACCAAGGCGACGAUCUGUAGCUGGUAGGAGAGGCCGACCAACCACACUCGGACUGAGACACGGCCCAGACUCCGACGGGAGGCUGCAGUGUGGAUUAUUGGACAAUGGGCGAAAGCUUGAACCAGCCAUGCCGCGUGCAGGAUGAAGGCCUUCGGGUUGUAAACUGCUUUUGUACGGAACGAAAAGCCUCUUUCUAAUAAAGAGAGGUCAUGACGGUACCGUAAGAAUAAGCACCGGCUAACUACGUGCCAGCCGCCGCCGUAACAC
rnacentral:rRNA from 1 species